GACAAAUGACCUCAAAUCAGGCAAGAAUACC
rnacentral:rRNA from 1 species